GGGGAAUAUUGCACAAUGGGGGAAACCCUGAUGCAGCGACGCCGCGUGAGUGAAGAAGUAUUUCGGUAUGUAAAGCUCUAUCAGCAGGGACGAAUAAAUGACGGUACCUGACUAAGAAGCCCCGGCUAACUACGUGCCAGCAGCCGUGGUAAUACGUAGGGGGCAAGCGUUAUCCGGAUUUCCUGGGUGUAAAGGGAGCGUAGACGGUGAUGUAAGUCAGAUGUGAAAGCCCGGGGCUCAACCCCGGGACUGCAUUUGAAACUAUGUUGCUGGAGUGCAGGAGAGGUAAGUGGAAUUCCUAGUGUAGCGGUGAAAUGCGUAGAUAUUAGGAGGAACACCAGUGGCGAAGGCGGCUUACUGGACUGUAACUGACGUUGAGGCUCGAAAGCGU
rnacentral:rRNA from 1 species